UACUAUCUGCAAAUAUUAUGGCGGACAUCAAAAAACUUUAAAUGGAAUGAAACUUGUGCAGAAGAAAUCGAGGAAAACCAUUUUGAACUGCUGUUACUUAAUAGCUAUUAGAACGCAUCCAGUUCCUUAUCAGUGGUAUAUGCUGGGGCAAUUACUGUUAUAAAUCCACAAACCGUACUAUCUGCAAAUAUUAUGGCGGACAUCAAAAAGCUUUAAAUGGAAUGAAACUUGUGCGGAAGAAAUCGAGGAAAACCAUUUUGAACUGCUGUUACUUAAUAGCUGUUAGAGGGGAUCCAGUUCUUUAUCAAUGGUAUAUCCUGGGACAAUUGCUGUUAAAAAUCCACAAGCCGUACUAUCUGCAAAUAUUAUGGUGGACAUCAAAAAGCUUUAAAUGGAAUGAAACUUGUGCAGAAGAAAUCGAGGAAAACCAUUUUGAACUGCUGUUACUUAAUAGCUGUUAGAGCGGAUCCAUUUCUUCAUCAAUGGUAUAUGCUGGGACAAUUGCUGUUAAAAAUCCACAAGCUGUACUAUCUGCAAAUAUUAUGGUGGACAUCAAAAAGCUUUAAAUGGAAUGAAACUUAUGCCGAAGAAAUCGAGGAAAACCAUUUUGAACUGCUGUUACUUAAUAGCUGUUAGAGCGGAUCCAGUUCUUCAUCAAUGGUAUAUGCUGGGACAAUUGCUGUUAAAAAUCCACAAGCCGUACUAUCUGCAAAUAUUAUGGUGGUGAUCAAAAAGCUUGAAAUGGAAUGAAAUUU